GAUGAACGCUGGCGGCGUGCCUAAUACAUGCAAGUCGAGCGAACAGACGAGGAGCUUGCUCCUCUGACGUUAGCGGCGGACGGGUGAGUAACACGUGGAUAACCUACCUAUAAGACUGGGAUAACUUCGGGAAACCGGAGCUAAUACCGGAUAAUAUAUUGAACCGCAUGGUUCAAUAGUGAAAGACGGUUUUGCUGUCACUUAUAGAUGGAUCCGCGCCGCAUUAGCUAGUUGGUAAGGUAACGGCUUACCAAGGCAACGAUGCGUAACCGACCUGAGAGGGUGAUCGGCCACAAUAGAACUUAGACACGGUCCAGACUCCUACGGGAGGCUGCAGAAGGGAAUCUUCCGCAAUGGGCGGAAGCCUAACAGAGAAACGCCGAGUGAGUUAUGAAGGUCUUCGGAUCGUAAAACUCCGUUAUUAGGGAAGAACAAAUGUGUAAGUAACUAUACACAUGUUGACGGUACCUAAUCAGAAAGCCACGGCUAACUACGUG
rnacentral:rRNA from 1 species